rnacentral:lncRNA from 1 species
CACUCUCUUCUCUACUCGCCCCUCUCCCUUCUCUACUUUAUAGUCUGUGCUCUUACCCGUCUCUCACAAUUCGGGUAUCCCACAGCUUCAAUCAAAGCUCUCUUCCCACGAUGACUCUCUCCACAGCCCCUAACAUCUACACCAUGAGGAUCCAAGCUACAGCCUUAAAUCCCAAAAAUCCUUGACCGACCCUCAACGCCCGUGCCCUAAACUCCAGUGGCUUCAUCUUCUGUCGCUAACACAAGUGCAAAUGCUGAACUCUCCGUCAUUUGCAAAUACAGCACCACUUAUCAUGUCUUUGGCAUAAAUA